rnacentral:rRNA from 1 species
UACAGAGGUGGCAAGCGUUGUUCGGAAUUACUGGGCGUAAAGGGCGCGUAGGCGGCCUUCUAAGUCAGACGUGAAAUCCCCCGGCUUAACCUGGGAACUGCGUCUGAUACUGGGAGGCUUGAGUAUGGGAGAGGGAUGUAGAAUUCCAGGUGUAGCGGUGAAAUGCGUAGAUAUCAGGAGGAACACCGAUGGCGAAGGCAGGUCUCUGGGCCACUACUGACGCUGAGAAGCGAAAGCAUGGGGAGCGAACAGG